rnacentral:rRNA from 1 species
GUGGGGAAUAUUGGUCAAUGGGCGAGAGCCUGAACCAGCCAAGUAGCGUGCAGGAUGACGGCCCUAUGGGUUGUAAACUGCUUUUAUGCGGGGAUAAAGUUCGCCACGUGUGGCGUUUUGUAGGUACCGCAUGAAUAAGGACCGGCUAAUUCCGUGCCAGCAGCCGCGGUAAUACGGAAGGUCCGGGCGUUAUCCGGAUUUAUUGGGUUUAAAGGGAGCGCAGGCUGGAGAUUAAGCGUGACGUGAAAUGUAGCCGCUCAACGGCUGAGUUGCGUCGCGAACUGGUUUUCUUGAGUGAGUACGACGUCAGCGGAAUUCGUGGUGUAGCGGUGAAAUGCUUAGAUAUCACGAAGAACCCCGAUUGCGAAGGCAGCUGACGAGUCCUUUACUGACGCUAAAGCUCGAAGGUGCGGGUAUCGAACAGG